UAACGAGACGCCGGAGGAGGUCGUGACU
rnacentral:sRNA from 1 species